CUGGCUCAGGAUGAGCGCUAGCGGCAGGCCUAACACAUGCAAGUCGAGGGGCAGCGCGGGAUAGCAAUAUCCUGGCGGCGACCGGCAGAAGGGUGCGUAACGCGUGACGCGGACAGUGCCCGUCACCGGGGGGACAAGCGCUGGAAACGGCGUCUAAUACCCCAUAUGCCUAGGGAGUGCAUGCUUCCUUGGUGAAAGUUUCGACGGUGACGGAUUGGCUCGCGUCUGAUUAGCUAGUCGGCGGGGUAACGGCCCACCGAGGCGACGAUCAGUAGGGGUUCUGAGAGGAAGGUCCCCCCACACUGGAACUGAGACACGGUCCAGACUCCUACGGGAGGCAGCAGUGAGGAAUAUUGGUCAAUGGGCGGAAGCCUGAACCAGCCAUGCCGCGUGCAGGACUAAAGGCCCUAUGGGUCGUAAACUGCUUUUGCGAUGGAGCAAUAAGGUCCACGUGUGGACCGACGAGAGUACAUCGCGAAUAAGCAUCGGCUAACUCCGUGCCAGCAGCGGC
rnacentral:rRNA from 1 species